GACGAACGCUGGCGGCGUGCCUAAUACAUGCAAGUAGAACGCUGAAGGAGGAGCUUGCUCUUCUGGAUGAGUUGCGAACGGGUGAGUAACGCGUAGGUAACCUGCCUGGUAGCGGGGGAUAACUAUUGGAAACGAUAGCUAAUGCCGCAUAAGAGUAGAUGUUGCAUGACAUUUACUUAAAAGGUGCAAUUGCAUCACUACCAGAUGGACCUGCGUUGUAUUAGCUAGUUGGUGGGGUAAUGGCUUACCAAGGCGACGAUACAUAGCCGACCGGAGAGGGGGAUCGGCCGCACUGGGACUGAGACACGGCCCAGACUCCUACGGGAGGCAGCAGUAGGGAAUCUUCGGCAAUGGACGGAAGUCUGACCGAGCAACGCCGCGUGAGUGAAGAAGGUUUUCGGAUCGUAAAGCUCUGUUGUAAGAGAAGAACGAGUGUGAGAGUGGAAAGUUCACACUGUGACGGUAUCUUACCAGAAAGGGACGGCUAACUACGUG
rnacentral:rRNA from 1 species